rnacentral:rRNA from 1 species
GAUGAACGCUGGCGGCGUGCCUAAUACAUGCAAGUCGAGCGAACAGACGAGGAGCUUGCUCCUCUGACGUUAGCGGCGGACGGGUGAGUAACACGUGGAUAACCUACCUAUAAGACUGGGAUAACUUCGGGAAACCGGAGCUAAUACCGGAUAAUAUAUUGAACCGCAUGGUUCAAUAGUGAAAGACGGUUUUGCUGUCACUUAUAGAUGGAUCCGCGCCGCAUUAGCUAGUUGGUAAGGUAACGGCUUACCAAGGCAACGAUGCGUAGCCGACCUGAGAGGGGGGUCGGCCACACUGGAACUGAGACACGGUCCAGGCUCCUACGGGAGGCAGCAGUAGGGAAUCUUCCGCAAUGGGCGAAAGCCUGGCGGAGCAACGCCGCGUGAGUGGUGAAGGUCUUCGGAUCGUAAAACUCUGUUAUUAGGGAAGAACAAAUGUGUAAGUAACUAUGCACGUCUUGACGGUACCUAAUCAGAAAGCCACGGCUAACUACGUG